rnacentral:tRNA from 1 species
GGAGGAAUGGCGGAGUGGACGAACGCGGCGGUCUUGAAAACCGUUGACACCUUGCGGUGUCCGGGGGUUCGAAUCCCUCUUCCUCCG